rnacentral:rRNA from 1 species
GACGAACGCUGGCGGCGCGCUUAACACAUGCAAGUCGAACGAGAAGCCAGAGCUUGCUCUGGUGGAAAGUGGCGAACGGGUGAGUAACACGUGAGAAACCUGCCCAAAGAUUGGGAUAAGCCUUGGAAACGAGGUCUAAUACCAAAUACCUUCCUUUUAACACAUGUUAAAAAGAAGAAAUGCUCCGGCGCUUUGGGAUGGUCUCGCGAUCUAUCAGCUUGUGGUGAGGUAACGGCUCACCAAGGCAUCGACGGAUAGCUGGUCUGAGAGGAUGUCCAGCCACAUUGGAACUGAGACACGGUCCAAACUCCUACGGGAGGCAGCAGUAGGGAAUCUUGCACAAUGAGGGAAACCUUGAUGCAGCGACGCCGCGUGCGGGACGAAGGCCCUAGGGUUGUAAACCGCUUCAGUAGGGACGAAAGUGACGGUACCUACAGAAGAAGCCCGGCAACUAUGUGCCAGCAGCCG